rnacentral:lncRNA from 1 species
CAGGUUUGAAAAAUAUUAAUUCAAUAAUAUAUCCAUUACAUCUCAAAACAUUUAAUGUAAAUAGGGGUGCAUUGGGAAAUCAUACAGUUGUGGUUUUUGUCUAAUUUCUAGAAAAAUUAGACACUUCUUUUGAAUGAGUCAUGGACUAAAAAGUUGGACUCGAUAGGCAAAAUACGUCUUAUAUGAUUAAACAGACAGGAUGAUACAAAAGAUGCUUGUAAUUUGAAUCCACAGGUUCAGUUUCAGGCUUGGGAAGGGGAAUCCACAUAUCAGACAGAUCGCACAAUUCAUAUGCUGGAUGGUGUCUAGAUAUGGAUCAUGGUUCCUAGAUAACCACAAACACAAUCACCUUGCAGCACUAGGAAGAAAAUUGCUACAUAACUUCUAAUAAAGCAGUAAACAUAUAAGAGUACACUUCUCCAACCAAAUUGGAAGUCACAUGUUCAGUUUCAGGCUUGGGAAGGGGAAUCCACAUAUCAGAAAAUAGGAAUCUCACAAAAAUAAAACCAACAUAUAGUUGAUAUGACUAAUAUGGAAGAAGGUUGCACUGGAAAAUCACCGUGCAUUGACAUUUCAAUUUAGAGAAUCAUCACCACCCUACAUAUGCACAUACAUGAAUGCUAGAUGUAUUUAAGCAAAGGUACAUGCAGUCAAGUGUUCAUCAAAGAACAUCAAGGCAAUCUGAGUAUCUAUUUUUAUUAGAUUAUAUUCAGGAAACUCAAACCAUCACCGGGUCAAGGUUACAGAAGUGCCAACAUUAUGUUCCGUUCAGAAAUGGCGAGUCAACAUAUAGCAAGGGAAUGAAGUGCAACUAAUGGUAAAGUCACAGCUAUAAAUUGCAAUGGCAAACAAUCAACUGUUACAUUAUAUUGUAUAAACAUAAAAAAAUCAUAUAUCACACAUUUAGCUAUAGAUUAGUCUUGCUACGCAGGUAAAUAUAUAGUUGAUAAUUUACGUGCAUAUAUCCCACUGGAGCUUUUCUUAUGUCUGCUGGUUAUACGUAUUUAAGCAAUGUCAAGUAUGCUCAAAUUUAGUAGUUCUUUUAACCACACUCCUCACCUAGAUGUUAAUACCCAAAACUAAGCCUAGAGCAAUUCUGUUACAUCAUUGACCACAUUUGGUUGCUACCAAGCAUACUUUAUUGAAUCGAAGAAUUCAUGCCAGUAGUUCGCACCGCGGUCCUCAUCGAUUUUCAAAAUGAAGCAAAUGAUUUGCUUCAUUCCAUUAAUUAAGAGAGCAACCCUCAAAUUCACAAGCGCAAAUGCUGGUACUGUUGCUGCAGCUGCGGGAAUAUUACGUGCAGGUAUCAUAGUCCCAAGGUAGGUUGCUACCAAAUGGAAUGGAUAUUCAGAAACCACAUUGGGGCUAUAAAAUAGAACCUACAUCUAUAUUGGGAGAUUAACCGACAAUCCAAACAGAAAGUGUGUGCAAACGUGUGUAUUUUGAAAAAUGGUAAACUUACUGCAGUUUCAAUAGGUAAGAACUAGUUCAAAGUUUGGGAAUAGUAACAUAUCUUAUUAGUAACAACAUAAUGUUUCUCCCACUCAAACUGAGAUGAUCAUAAUAUAACUGCUAUCUAUAAUGAACAUUUCACAAUGACUAAAAUAGGUAACAUGGGUACAGAAACUAUCAUAGAAAACUAAGUUUUAUACUAUCCCUGUAACGAUGCCACUUCUCCUCCAUGUAAUGUCAAAAUUCAAUAGCAGUUUAAUGAUAUUAUUAUUCGUGUAACUUGUGAUCUUUCCAAUCUUUUUCUAUCCAUGAGCCCAUGUUUCAGCCUGCAAGUUGCUAGAAACAAAUAGGUUAUGACAGGAAAAAAUACCUGGUUCUUCCUCCUUGAGGCCCCAAUAAGCACAAAAGGGUGUUGCUACUCGCCUAUUUGUGCUUAAUAGGUUCCACAGAGAGGAAGGUGUCCCCAUUCGCGGGUUUAGCUUAUUUGCUAAAAAUAAUCAAACUAGACCAAAGAACUGAAUCAUUGGACAAUUUAAACAUGGAACAUGCAAAAAUCAUCCUGACAAAAGGAAAAUUGCCUACUCCAUACAGAGAACUGACAAAAAUAAGUUCUUAUGAUAAAUUACCUAUUUCUCUAAAACAGAUGUCGUGACCAAGAAAGCACAACACCCAAUCCAACGACGCGAGCACAUAUCCUAUCUAAGCAAGGGCGCAACAAGGACUGAAGAACCCACCACAAAAUCCAAUGCCAUUGGAAAGAGGAUGCAGUGCCAAAUCACCACCAGAAUAACACCCCCACAUCCAAUCCCUAAACCUCAUUGCAGUCUGCCACAUCAAUGAACAAAAAAAUAUAUGAAAUCUGCAUCCACGCAAGAAGGGGAGAGAUAGGGAAGUAGAGUGGGACGGAAGUACAUCUGCCCACCAGAAGCGAUCCUUGGUAGCNN